rnacentral:lncRNA from 1 species
AUUUUAUGUUUUCAUAUAUUUGGGUCGUGUUUAAUCCUUGCAGUGUGUUUUCAAUCUCAGUAAAAGACCUUAUACAAUAAUGGCAUACGCUUUUAUUCCUAAAUGAAAUAUACAUUUUAUAACUCUUAUUUAUGAGCAGAUUAAGUUUGCAGUGAGGAAUAUAACCCUCUAAGCUCUAUACUCCAUUUUAUCCAAGAUAAUAAAAAGCUAGCUGGGCUCAUGAAAUGAAAACUCGGAAUAAGAUGCAAAGACAACAUGAACAAAAAUGUGGACUUGUGUGUUUCUCCCUAUAAACAGCUUGGACAAGUGGGUGCCAGGAGGACUCCCUCUCUCUCUGCCUUCUGCAGCAAGCUGGUGCUAACCCUGCAGGGUGACUGUCCUCAGAAAACUUACUGUCACCAGCCAUGCCCCAAGCAUGCUGCAUGCACCCUUUCUGUCCGGCUACAAAAUGUAUUUUACUGUAUUUCAUACAGUGUAAACUGAAAACCUACAACAAAAUAAAGUCUUCAGGCCUAUACAUACUGUGUGGAGUAUGUAUAGUACAGAGGGCUAGGCUAAGCCUAAACAACAUGGACAAGGCUUUUAAAGAGUUCUCUUUUAGCUGUGCGGUCACUUGGUCUUCUCCCCAAGGCAGAUGAACAUAGCAGUGGCGGUGUGGCCGAGCAGAGGUAUUUUAGUUCAGAUCAGGUAGAAGAAACAACUAUUUGUCAUCUUUAAAAUAAAUCAAAUGAAAUAUGGUUUGCAGCACAGUCGAUUCCCUCAGACUGAUAAACUGUGGUUUGCUUCAGCAAACACUGAGCAAAGAGGCAGCUCAGCCACCGGCCCUGCACCCAGCGCUGACAGGAACACUGCGGCAAGUGACGUCAGAGCAGCUGCGUGUCCUCAUCUGCAGGGCACGGCCUGCUGAUGUGCGGCUCUCCUGUGCCGUCAGUCACGCGUGCUACAUUCCGACAGAAGAGGGCUUCCCAGCUUCACCUUCAGCGAGGCAGGUCCUGAGGCAUGGGGCUUUGUAACGGGGUACUGUUGAGCCUUCACAAGCUCAUCCCGGCAGUGACAGAAUCACUACAUAGUUAAGAAUGUUGCAACACUGACUUGAAUGGUAAGUUGCUACAAGUUAGCAUCUAUUCAUCAGAGGAGCCUUUUUUUUAAAUGUUUUUUGUCUGCAUUACUUGCCAAAAGGCUCUUAUGACCAAAGUCCCUAGCAGAGACUCUGAAAAAGCUAUGUAUGACGUUGGAGGGGGGGAGAAGCAUUCCCUCUUGAGAACACCAUUUAACAUAAGGCAAACGUCUUUCUUUUGACAGAUGGGAAUGUAAUCUCUAUGUAGUCUUUCAGCUUUGUUUGACAGUUAGCUUUGAAAGCUGGAGAGAGAUGAGCUGGUUCUGUUCAGAGCUAAGCAUGCAUCUGAAGCGCUAGGUAUGUCAGUGACACGCAAUGCGCCUUUAAGAUCCUUGGUCUGUAGGCAUCAGUGUCAAAGCAAACUUACCAGCCUGAAACAAAAUCAGAUAUAAGAUCUGUCCAAUGGAAAUCAGGGAAGGAGAUGGAUUCUAAAAUAUAAAGAAUUUAUUUUCCUCAUUACUCUGAAUGGUAAAAAAAAAGCCAGUUGUCUGUAAAGAAGCAGAGAGAAGAGAAUUGAGAGGGUAUGAAAUUUUAUUCAAUUUCAAAAUCCUUGCAGUAUAAAGAUUAAUUCCAAUCAGGGUAAGAUGAGAACUCUUAGCCUGCUGACUGUCAGUCCAGUGUAGCUUUGGUAAAGCAGGGAUAAAUGGGAUAAGUAGUUAAAGUCAUAAUGUGUGAGCACAGAAAAAGAAGAAUAAUUUUACAUGGAAAAAUUGGAAAUGGUUUAACGAAGAACUGAAAAAAAAAAGUAAAAAAUGAUGUCUGGAAAUGUGCCCCACAGUUAGGGAAUUAUGGAAGCUCAUCCAAGAAAAGGUUAAGGCAUGACUUGACCCCAGUUUCUGCAAGGAUCCUUAAUUUAGCAGACAAUAGCAUAAUGAGAGCUGGUGCCUGGAAAAAAAAAAAAAAAAAAAAGCCAAAUAAUUCUGCAUAGAAACUCAUCCCUUUAAAAUGGGAAAAAUUCUGCUCACUGGAAUAAGGGAGGUGAUAGAUUCCAUCUUCUGAAGUCUUUAAAUAAAGAGCAGAUUUCAUUCUAAAAAUAACUAUAG